AAGUCGUAACAAGGUUUCCGUAGGUGAACCUGCGGAAGGAUCAUUAUUGAAUACGAAUCGGUUCUGAUGCUGGCCCUUCACCGGGCAUGUGCUCGCUCCGAAUCUAUUUAUCUUCUCUUGUGCACCUCUUGUAGUCUUUGAAACUCUCGCAGCAAUGCGGUCUGGGGGACUGGGCUUUUUUAACGGCCCUUCCCCUGCUUCAAGGCUAUGUUUUCAUAUACACUAUAAAGUUACAGAAUGUCUUUUAAAGAUUGUCGCUCGCGCGCAGUCAUUAAACCUAUACAACUUUCAGCAACGGAUCUCUUGGCUCUCCCAUCGAUGAAGAACGCAGCGAAAUGCGAUAAGUAAUGUGAAUUGCAGAAUUCAGUGAAUCAUCGAAUCUUUGAACGCACCUUGCGCCCUUUGGUAUUCCAAGGAGCAUGCCUGUUUGAGUGUCAUCAAGUUCUCAAUCACAUAUUUUUUGUGGCUUGGAUUGUGGGGGUGUUGCCGGCUUUUAUAUAAAAGUAGGCUCUCCUUAAAUGCAUAAGUGGUGUUUAGAAAAGCUACGUGUCGGGUGUUAUAAAUUGAUAAUACACCUUUUUGGCAAUUCUAAUAUGCUGCUUCCAACCCUUUGUUUUGAUGAUUUUGACCUCAAAUCAGGUAGGACUACCCGCUGAACUUAAGCAUAUCAAUAAGCGGAGGAAAGAAACUAACAAGGAUUCCCUCAGUAACUGCGAGUGAAGUGGGAAAAGCUCAAAUUUGAAAUCUGGCAGGUUCUACACACUGCCCGAAUUGUAAUCUAAAGAAGUGCUAUCUGUGCUGGACCAUGUAAAAGUCUUCUGGAAUGGAGCAUCAUAGAGGGUGAGAAUCCCGUCUUUGACAUGGACUACCAGUAUGUUUAUGGUACACUCUCAAAGAGUCGAGUUGUUUGGGAAUGCAGCUCAAAAUGGGUGGUAAAUGCCAUCUAAAGCUAAAUAUUGGCGAGAGACCGAUAGCGAACAAGUACCGUGAGGGAAAGAUGAAAAGAACUUUGGAAAGAGAGUUAAACAGUACGUGAAAUUGCUGAAAGGGAAACGCUUGAAGUCAGUCAUGUCGGCUGGAAAUCAGGCUUGCUUCUGCAAGGUGCACUUUCUAGUUGAUAGGUCAGCAUCAAUUUUGACCGUUGGAUAAAGGCAUUGGGAAUGUGGCAUCUUUGGAUGUGUUAUAGCCCAUUGUUGGAUACAGCGGUUGGGAUUGAGGAACUCAGCAUGCCCCCUUGGGGUUCAGGUCUCGGCCAUGUUCAUGCUUAGGAUGCUGGCGUAAUGGCUUUAAUCGACC
rnacentral:rRNA from 1 species